AGAGUUUGAUCCUGGCUCAAAACGAACGCUGGCGGCGCGUCUUAAGCAUGCAAGUCGAACGGCAAGGCAGGUGCUUGCACCUGCCCUAGAGUGGCGGACUGGUGAGUAACACGUGGGUGACAUGCCUUUUAGUUGGGGAUAGCUACUAGAAAUAGUAGAUAAUACCGAAUGUGAUCAAUAUUUAUAGAUGAUGUUGAGGAAAGGAGCUAAGGCUUCGCUAAAAGAUUGGCCCGCGGCCCAUUAGCUAGUUGGUAGGGUAAAGGCUUACCAAGGCUUUGAUGGGUAUCCGGCCUGAGAGGGUGAUCGGACACAUUGGGACUGAGAUACGGCCCAGACUCCUACGGGAGGCAGCAGCUAAGAAUAUUCCACAAUGGACGAAAGUCUGAUGGAGCGACGCCGCGUGGAUGAUGAAGGCCGAAAGGUUGUAAAAUCCUUUUACACUGGAGGAAUAAGCAGAGUAGGGAAUGACUCUGUGAUGACUGUACAGUUUGAAUAAGCAACGGCUAAUUACGUGCCAGCAGCCGCGGUAACACGUAAGUUGCGAGCGUUGUUCGGAAUUAUUGGGCGUAAAGGGCAUGUAGGCGGAUUUGCAAGCUUGAUGUGAAAUCCCGCAGCUUAACUGCGGAACUGCAUUGGGAACUGCAAGACUAGAGUUACUGAGGGGAAACUAGAAUUCCAAGUGUAGGGGUGAAAUCUGUAGAUAUUUGGAGGAAUACCAAUGGCGAAGGCAAGUUUCUGGCAGAUAACUGACGCUGAGGUGCGAAGGUGCGGGGAGCAAACAGGAUUAGAUACCCUGGUAGUCCGCACAGUAAACGAUGUACACUAGGUGUUUGACCAUGAGGUUGAGUGCCAUAGCUAACGCAAUAAGUGUACCGCCUGGGAAGUAUGCCCGCAAGGGUGAAACUCAAAGGAAUUGACGGGGGCCCGCACAAGCGGUGGAGCAUGUGGUNUAAUUCGAUGACACGCGAGGAACCUUACCAGGGUUUGACAUACGAUGGAAUGGGAGAGAGAUUUUCCAGCCUUUCGGGGUCGUCGUACAGGUGCUGCAUGGCUGUCGUCAGCUCGUGCUGUGAAGUGUUGGGUUAAGUCCCGCAACGAGCGCAACCCCUGCUAUCUGUUGCCAUCAAGUAAUGUUGGGGACUCAGAUGGAACUGCCGGUGACAAACCGGAGGAAGGUGGGGACGACGUCAAGUCAUCAUGGCCCUUAUAUCCUGGGCUACACACGUGCUACAAUGGCCGGUACAAAGCGCAGCUAAGCCGCGAGGUGGAGCGAAUCGCAAAAAGCCGGUCUCAGUACGGAUUGGAGUCUGAAACUCGACUCCAUGAAGUUGGAAUCGCUAGUAAUCGCACAUCAGCAUGGUGCGGUGAAUACGUUCCCGGGCCUUGCACACACCGCCCGUCA
rnacentral:rRNA from 1 species